UUUAGCCAUAUUUUUUUUAAAGCAAUCAGCCAUACUUUUGUUAAAUCAAUCACAUGCAAAUCAAUAUUUUACAACAAUCAAUCCACUUGGAAAUUUCCUCACAAGCUCUUCUUCAUCCCUGAAGUGCGCAGCAACCAUAGUGAUUCCAUCAAACAAGCAAAUUCAGAAUCAGGCAGCAACCAUUUCACAUCCUAAAUACCUAAAGGCUUUGAGCAACAGGAGGAUUAGCACUGCUAUUCCGAUUCAGAGAUAAGGUUAAACGACAGGCUUUGCCUAGACAGGUUAAUGGCGGGUGAUGACGGGGCAGAGCUGAGGCUAGAGUUCAACUCCUUAUUUUGAUUUCCGCUGCAGAACUAGCCAGUAUCUGUCUUUUGUUUCUUAACUUAAGACCUAUCAUGUUGUGAUUCUAAACAAUAUCUUUUGUUGAGCCUAAACUAUUGACUCUCAAAGUAUUUCAAUCAGUGAAUGUUGGUUAUCUGAAGCAUGACACUAAACUUGUGAUCC